UAUUUUUAAAGAUUACUUUUAUUUUUAAAUAACAAGCCUAUUAAGAAUGUUAAGUGUACACGCAUCCACAAAGCCAUGCAAGGCAGUCCUAACCUCUGUCAUGUGGAAGCAUUGCCUGUUCUUGAAACAUUCAUGAAGAGUCUUUUGUCUCAUCCUCUAAGUACCUGGGACUGACUCUGGACUCGCCUCAAUUACUCAGUUUCAGAACUGGAAAAAAAAUGAAUCACAAUGAAUUUUUUAAGCAGAGAUCAAGCUGUUUUCCUGGCAUUGGGUCCUGUUGAAUCUCCUCCUGGUUCCUCAUUACACCGGGCUCUUGCUCUGGCUGAAGUCGCCACAGCAGAGCAGAGGAUGCUUGGAGCCGGAGCUUUCAAAUGCAGUGGCUGGGACUGGCGAGAGGUCAGGCUGCCAUGGCAGGGGGUUUAAAGCGGGUGCAGGAGGAGGAAAUGAGCUGCUUUUCUGCUGUUUUGUGCAAGUCUACUUCACACGGUGAUCCACAAAGUGGCAAAACACCGUGCCAAGGAAAAGACACGCAGCCAGGAGCGACCGUUCCUUCUCUGGCAGCCCUGCAUGGAGGAGAAACUUCCACACGCGACCCUGCCCUGCCUCAGGAACCUGGAAGUUGCCCUCUGAGGAGACCAUGCCACAGGGACAGCAGCAGGAGGAGGCAGAGCAGACGGGCAGGGAAGCCCUUCAGGGAGCUGAAAUUUCAUGUUGCUCUGUGUCUGUGGGAAUCCCAGCAGCACUGCACCACAGGGAGCGGUACCUCUCAAAGUGAUGUUUCUGCAUUUGCAACCCUGGCGUGCAGCGUUCCAAGGUGA
rnacentral:lncRNA from 1 species